CUGGUGGCUAUCUAACUUUACUUGGACUAGACCACUAUGUUUAGCUGCCGCAACAAGACCAAUCUUUUGAAAGCGUUCCGAGACCUCUCAACAGAAGAAAGAUUGAAGUGUUUAUCGGAAACGCCGGAGAGCUUAGUGAGUUUUGUGAAACUCUACUUGGACUGAUGGCCGUCACACGCAUCAGUAAGCUCUCGUCAGAGCAGGAGCAUGGCCGACAAACGCGUGCCGGGAUGUCGGACUGACCGUGAUGCACAGGUACGUGGAUAUACCUGGCGAUGGUAUUGCGGUAUAGGGGAGUGGACUGUGACCCCAGUGUUAUAGACACGAUUCCCUGGAGGGCCCAACCUUCAUACCCCUGGACCAGCCAUUGCCCGUAUUGGCCCGGGAGCUGUUACAGAUGAAAGCCUGUCUUUGUGUUGAGCGAAGCACUCGCUAAGCACUGCUGUUUAAGAGACCGAGGGGUUUUACGGUGAUGGCUGAAUCCUGGAGCCAGCCAUGUGAUAGACGGUUCCGCAGAUACCUGGAUAAAUGCAUCAGAAGAUCUGCAGGUGGCGUUAAAAUGGUGACAAGUCAUUCCAGCGUCCAGCUACUCGGCAGAGCUGUGUGAUCUGUGCUGUGGGGCUGCCCGGAUUGUUCCGUUAAGAAAAAAAUGCAAGAAAGCGCUUGGAAAAAUCACACCUUGGAAAAAUGGAGAUAAGCUCCAGUGUGUUGCAGCGACCUUAAAAUGGGCAAACUGAAAUCUUACUGGGGAAACCUGAACAGUCUCAGCAAGGGACCAAAGCAAAAAAUAGCCAGAAAUGUCUGGCAAUAGUGUUCACACAUUUGAUAGGUAGGGUUUCAGAACGCUUUCUGAUCAGUAGGGGAAACUAUAAAUAAUAGGAAAGUAAUAAGUGAUAAAUUAUGAUAUUGUUGUAAUAGACAACGAAUGAGAUGAAACACAUUGUAUUCAUGAUAAUUAUUCAUAUUAAAUGUAUACAAGACAUUUUUGCUGAAAAACCUGUUUAACUGAUAAU